rnacentral:rRNA from 1 species
UACAGAGGUCUCAAGCGUCGUUCGGAUUCAUUGGGCGUAAAGGGUGCGUAGGCGGCGCGGUAAGUCGGGUGUGAAAUCUCGGAGCUUAACUCCGAAACUGCAUUCGAUACUGCCGUGCUUGAGGACUGGAGAGGAGACUGGAAUUUACGGUGUAGCGGUGAAAUGCGUAGAUAUCCGGAGGAACACCAGUGGCGAAGGCGGCCGCCUGGACCUGACCUGACGCUGAGGCGG